CUACGGGGCGCAGCAGUGAGGAAUAUUGCACAAUGGGGGAAACCCUGAUGCAGCAACGCCGCGUGGAGGAUGACGCAUUUCGGUGUGUAAACUCCUUUUAUCAGAGAAGAAAAUGACGGUAUCUGAUGAAUAAGCUCCGGCUAACUCCGUGCCAGCAGCCGCGGUAAUACGGAGGGAGCAAGCGUUAUUCGGAAUCACUGGGCGUAAAGGACGCGUAGGCGGGUUUUUAAGUCAGGUGUGAAAUCCUACAGCUCAACUGUAGAACUGCACUUGAAACUGGGAACCUAGAGUAUGGAAGGGGCAGGUGGAAUUAGUGGUGUAGGGGUAAAAUCCGUAGAUAUCACUAGGAAUACCGAAAGCGAAGGCGACCUGCUGGGACAUAACUGACGCUGAGGCGUGAAAGCGUGGGGAGCAAACAGGAUUAGAUACCCGAGUAGUC
rnacentral:rRNA from 1 species